CAAGGAAAAGCGAUCCCUCCCUGACGGAGGAAGAAUACAAGGAAUCCUGCUCCCAGUGUAUCCUCCUGUCGCCGCUCAGUCCCAGACGGCUUUGGCAAGUGACAUUUCAUAUCCCAAGGCUCGACUCUUUCUCAGAUCCCCAGCGGAUAAGUUUUGCUAGAUUCCUAGAAGACAAGAAUUUAUGGCAUAAUCCCACUCCAGCCGCUGGGAAGAGGCAGCCAAGGUCAACACCAGAAGACACAG